CGGAGCGCCGCUCCCGGCACCGCGCGGCAACAGCGCCCCCACGGCCGGGAGGGCCGCGGGAGCCGGGUCGGGAUCGCGAUCGGCCCCGGGAAAAUCACGAUAUUCCCGAUAUUCCCACGCCCAACCGAACCUGGAAUUCCUGAGAUUGAAAAAUCCCUCUGAGACCAUCGAGUCCAAGCUUGUCCCCGUCCCAGAGCAGUGAGUGCCACGUCCAGCCCUUCCUGGGACACUCCGGGGAUGGGGAUCCAAACCUCCCUGGGCAGCUCCAGUCCCUGAGCUCCCUUUCCAUGGGGAAAUUCCUGCCCUGUCCCCCCUGAGCCUCCCCUGGCCCAGCCUGGGGCCAUCCCCUCCCCUCCUGUCCCUGUUCCUGGGAGAAAUCCCCAACCCCCGGCUGUCCCCUCCUGUCAGAGCCACAAGGUCCCCCCGAUCCCCGUUUUCUCCAGGCUGAGCCCCUUUCCAGCUCCCUUGGGAAUUCUCCAGCCCCUUGUCCUGCUGCUCCAGCCCCUUCCUCAGCUCCACUCCCUGCUCUGAUCCCCAAAAUCUCAGAUUCCCAAAGCUCCAGGUGCAGGGCACUGCCCAGCCCAGCUCCCUCACACCCUCAGAGCUCCAACAUUUCCCAAUAAAACUGGCAAAAUACAAUACUGACAAAUAUUUAAAAGUUCUCCCUCUGCCCAGGAUCAAUUUUAACCCGCGGUUUCUUCCUUAAAAAUAAAAUUCCUUCAUGGAAACAGCGCUGGAAGGACUAAACAAGCAACCAGGCAUCAAUAUUUAUUAACACAAGACAAAGGAAACACAAUCAAUGCGUUAAUGGGACACUGUCCAGCCAGGUGUUAAAUUUAAAAAUGUAACUAAUCUAAUUUUAAAUAAAUAAAACCUUUAUACAUAAUUACAGAAUGCCGGAGUCUGGAUUGGACAAUGGGAAAGAGGUUGACAGAAAUAAAAGCAAAAAAUAAAAAAAAGCAUCUAGGGCUAAAACUGAUCUGGUUUUUAUAACCUUAUUUUAGGACAGUUAGUAGGACACAGCUGAAUUGAUUUAAACCAGAAAUGAAGUGCAAAUUCUAACAAAAUGGGACGAAACUGUCCUGUUCCCACAGCGUUAGCGCAGAGAAGAUUCAGAGACAGUGAGACACACACACAAUGCUUUAUCCAGUGGAAGAAUUCCCAGUUUUUCCGUUUCACUGCAGUUGUUAAGGUGGAAGCUGAGGGGCAAGAAAGGGAAUGAUGUGCCCUGUGCAACCCCAGCAGUCACACCAGGAGGAGAGGAUGGGUUUUUUGGGAAAAGCACCCAGCCCUGCCCACCUGCCAAUGUCUGGAGUGAAGGAUUUUGCUUUGCUCCCAAAAAAUUCGGAAGGAUCAUCCCCAGCCACAGAGCAAGGAGUGGAGUUUGGGGAUUGCAGAGCCCCAGCUCCGUCCUUGCUCCUCUCCAGCACUGCCAAAACAGGGACAAAGCACUCAGGGAAUUGAGGAAAACCAAACUGAGCAGCUUCUCCUCGUCCCUGGAACGUGCUCUCAUCCCCUGGGCAGGGCUGCGUCCUGCAGUUCUCCAGCAGAAAUGGAAUUUCUGAAAUUUCGUUCUGAAUUCGUUCAUUCUGAAAUGAAAUUCCAGAAAUGGAAUGUGCUGGAAGAUCUGGAGCACACGGGAAACUUGGAAGAUAAAACC